AGAUUGAACGCCGGCGGCAUGCCUUACACAUGCAAGUCGAACGGCAGCACGGGAGCAAUCCUGGUGGCGAGUGGCGAACGGGUGAGUAAUACAUCGGAACGUGCCCAAUCGUGGGGGAUAACGCAGCGAAAGCUGUGCUAAUACCGCAUAAGAUCUACGGAUGAAAGCAGGGGAUCGCAAAGACCUUGCGCGAAUGGAGCGGCCCGAUGGCAGAUUAGGUAGUUGGUGAGGUAAAGG
rnacentral:rRNA from 1 species